rnacentral:rRNA from 1 species
AACGAACGCUGGCGGCAUGCCUAACACAUGCAAGUCGAACGAAGGCUUCGGCCUUAGUGGCGCACGGGUGCGUAACGCGUGGGAAUCUGCCCCUCGGUUCGGAAUAACAGUUAGAAAUGACUGCUAAUACCGAAUGAUGACUUCGGUCCAAAGAUUUAUCGCCGAGGGAUGAGCCCGCGUAAGAUUAGGUAGUUGGUGGGGUAAAGGCCUACCAAGCCGACGAUCUUUAGCUGGUCUGAGAGGAUGAUCAGCCACACUGGGACUGAGACACGGCCCAGACUCCUACGGGAGGCAGCAGUGGGGAAUAUUGGACAAUGGGCGAAAGCCUGAUCCAGCGAUGCCGCGUGAGUGAUGAAGGCCUUAGGGUUGUAAAGCUCUUUUACCAGGGAUGAUAAUGACAGUACCUGGAGAAUAAGCUCCGGCUAACUCCGUGCCAGCAGCCGCGGUAA